rnacentral:rRNA from 1 species
CCUACGGGGGGCAGCAGUGGGGGAUAUUGCACAAUGGGGGAAACCCUGAUGCAGCGACGCCGCGUGGGUGAAGAAGGCUUUCGGGUUGUAAACUUCUUUUCUCAGGGACGAAGCAAGUGACGGUACCUGAGGAAUAAGCCACGGCUAACUACGUGCCAGCAGCCGCGGUAAUACGUAGGUGGCAAGCGUUAUCCGGAUUUACUGGGUGUAAAGGGCGUGUAGGCGGGAAAGCAAGUCAGAUGUGAAAACCAUGGGCUCAACCUGUGGCCUGCAUUUGAAACUGUUUUUCUUGAGUACUGGAGAGGCAGACGGAAUUCCUAGUGUAGCGGUGAAAUGCGUAGAUAUUAGGAGGAACACCAGUGGCGAAGGCGGCCUGCUGGACUGCAACUGACGUUGAGGCCCGAAAGCGUGGGGAGCAAACAGGAUUAGAUACCCGAGUAGUC